AUACGUAGGGGGCGAGCGUUGUCCGGAAUGAUUGGGCGUAAAGGGCGCGUAGGCGGCGCGGUAAGUCUGGAGUGAAAGUCCUGCUUUCAAGGUGGGAAUUGCUUUGGAUACUGCCGCGCUUGAGUGCAGGAGAGGUUAUCGGAAUUCCCGGUGUAGCGGUGAAAUGCGUAGAGAUCGGGAGGAACACCAGUGGCGAAGGCGGGUAACUGGACUGCAACUGACGCUGAGGCGCGAAAGCGUGGGGAGCAAACAGGAUUAGAUACCCUGGUAGUCCACGCGGUAAACGAUGAUCACUAGGUGUUGGCACGCAUAGCGUGUCGGUGCCGCAGCAAACGCAAUAAGUGAUCCACCUGGGGAGCACGUUCGCAAGAAUGAAACUCAAAUGAAUUGACGGGG
rnacentral:rRNA from 1 species